UGUAAAAAUAACAAAAAUGUCUCAAUCGAUGAUACAAAUAUGGCAACAUUCUUCGAAAACUCAUAGAUCUCCUCUCUUCUUUGCAAUACAUUUCUCAAAUCAAGUAAAAUAAAAGGACUAAAAUAUUCCAAGAUAAAUAAAUCUAUGAUCUCUAAACAGUUUGAAGAAAUUGAAAUGUUGCCUUCUGAAACUAUCUCUUCUUUUUACCUCCCUUGCCAGACUUUGAAGAACCAGCUGCAGAAGAGGCUGCAGGCUCCUGCUUCUUAGUCCUAUUAGGAUGUCUUCGAACCAACUCUGCGACAUUGAUCAUCAGCUGUUUCCGUGAAGGAAUGACAGGGUUGUAAGGAGUUCCAUCUUCCCGCUUCAGCAAAACUCUCACUCUUCCUCUCUGCAUGAAAUCUCGUGGAUAUGCCUUAUCAAGCUCAAUUGCACAAGGAAUUUUGAGGAAGUUGCAGCAAUCACUAAUCUCAGUACAAGUAGGGUUUUCACAAGCUUUCGUCACACAAAUUCUUCUUCCUUCCGCUAUCGUCUUUUUUGAAUUUAUAUAAACUGGAUACAGUAUGUUCCACUUCUUGAUGUUCUUAAUUUCACCAUCCAUGAUGAAGAUCUCUUGAUUAACGAGAAAAAUGGAGAUUGAAA
rnacentral:misc_RNA from 1 species